rnacentral:rRNA from 1 species
ACAGCAGCCGCCGCGGUAAUACGGAGGGUGCAAGCGUUAAUCGGAAUUACUGGGCGUAAAGCGUGCGUAGGCGGUUCGUUAAGUCUGUUGUGAAAGCCCCGGGCUCAACCUGGGAAUGGCAAUGGAUACUGGCGAGCUAGAGUGUGUCAGAGGAUGGUGGAAUUCCCGGUGUAGCGGUGAAAUGCGUAGAGAUCGAGAGGAGCAUCAGUGGCGAAGGCGGCCAUCUGGGACAACACUGACGCUGAGGCACGAAAGCGUGGGGAGCAAACAGGAUUAGAUACCCCAGUAGUCCCUGUCUCUUAUAA